GUCUAAUUCUAGGAAAGGAGAGUUGGGUUCUUUUUCUUUGUCAUGGGGUUUUGAUGAGAAGGAGAAUGAAUCCAAAGUGGCAAAGCUGAAAUCACUGGCAAAGGGUUCCAAGAAUUUCAUGUCUCUGACGAGUUCAGCUUCUUCCAAGAUUGCUCAAUCCCAGAAAAAGAAAAUCUUGGUGGAAAGAAAUGAUCCUGUAAGGACUUCAAUCACCUUAUCCGACGGUAAAGCUACAUUUUUUUUUGUAAAUUCUAAAGAACAUAAUCAAAAUGCUGAGAAUGUUAUGGAUCCUAAGGAGACUAUUCCUGUUGAUGGUUUUUCUCUGGUUACCAAAACUUCGAAAAGGGUAACGUUUUCGGAGGCAUCUUUAAAUUCUGAAUCCCUUUCUGAUACUGUAACAAUGGAUUCUGACAUUUGCAAUGAUGAACCAUUGGUCUCUCCUGCAAUAGCCUCACUAGAUGCUAAUCCCUCUCUACCUCCAUAUUAACCUAAAACCAAUUACCUUUCUCUAAGCAAACCCAAGCUAGAUGACUGGUACUUGUUUGAGUUACUGUCUGAGAACCUUUCAGACACAGAUGGCAGUGAAAGUUCUCUAACUGAAGAUUUAUUGGAAGAGUCUGAUGGUUCUUCUUCAGAAUAGGAAUUCACUGAAGCAACGGUUGACCAAGAAGAGGAACUUGCAAUGCCUAUUGCUAAGAAAAUUGAUGAACCUGCACUACCUGUUGCUGAGGACAUAUCUGAGGCAAAAAUGAAAUCAAAAUCAAGAUCUUCAACAAUAUUGAGGUUUUUAUCUCUGAUGUUGGUACUUAUGAUUGCUUUCUUAUCAUUCUCAGUAACUGAUUCUUCUAUACUUGCUACCCCUGGGUCUAUUAUAGACUUAAGAUUCUCUAAUGUCAGUAUUCCAUCACCUAUUCCGGUCUUGGCUUUUCCCGCCUUAGCUAAGGCUAAUAGUUACUUUAAGCAAUUCUUGGGUGAAGUGGCUUCUUAUUUCUCAAAGUUUAUUAAUGACCUUGGUAGAAUAGAUGAUGUACAUCCGAUUAAAUUUAUGAACUUGACUGCUCUAGAAGAGAGUAGCAAUAUAUAUCACGAUAUUUGAAAGGCAGUACUGGUAGUGAGGAAUUGGAUAAAAAGUUUGAACCAAUUGAGUUAGAAGAGGAUUAAGAAUCUAAAACCGAGCCAGAUAAGGAAGAAUUUCAAAUGGAUGCUGAUUUAGAUGACGGUGGGGAAGUUGAAAUUGAAGGAGUGGAUGUGUUGGAGAUUGAAGAAGCUUCCGCAGUUCAAUUAGCUGAGGUAAAUAUGGCUGAUAGCUUACAAAACGAUUUAGAACAAGGAAAGCAUGAUUUGGUGUAGACUAAAAAAGUUUCUGUUGUCCCAACUGAGGGGAAUGAAUCUGAUAGUUCAGAAAGGGAUUUAGACCAAAGGCUUACAACUUCUAAUAUUGAGGUUGAGUCGGCUGAAUCCCAAUCUUUCAUUGCUGAUAAUGCACUUGAGUCGAUGAUUGAAAAUCCUGAAAGCAUAGUGAAAGAAAUUUUUGCUGUUGAAGAAGCCCAACCUUUGGAAAUGAUGGAGUCUCUGAUAAGACAUGAUGAAGAUAAUGUUGGUGUAUAUCAGAUCCUGGGAAUUUCCUCACUUGUACUGAGUCUGCUUGCUGGUACAGUUCUUUACGUGAAGAGAAGAAGUGAUAAGACUUUGUAUCCAGUAGCAGUCUCACGUAAGAAAUUUGCCACACACCAUGUUGUCAAAGAGAAGAAUUCCUCUCAAAAUUGGCCAACAGAGGUCGAUGUCGCAGGAGCGUCUUAUCCGUCUGAGAUGAGCAUCUUUCAAAUAAGUUCAUCUCAUAGCAAGAAAUAGUCCAAAUCAGAGGAUGAUAUCGCAGGAGCAUCUUGUCCGUCUAAGAUAAGCAUCUUUCAAAUAAGUUCAUCUCAUAGAAAGAAAUAUCCUAAAUCAGCGGAUGAUGAGGCUCAGAGCAUUGAGAAGAAACCUAGAAAGAGUAAGAGGAGAGAAUCCUUGGCUGCAUUUGAGUUCUCAAUGGGUUCACCUUCAUAUGGAAGUUUCACUACAUAUGAGAGGAUUCCUGCCAAGUUUGUGAGUGUAUUUAACUUGGUAAGUGGGGGAGAAGAAGUCAUCACCCACGUAAGACGCUCGAGAAUAAUUAGAAGCCAUGUCAUUUCUCCAUGAAUAUUCUGAAGUCGUGUCACUGCUGCAUUGACAACUGAAGUAAAAUUGCUCUUUUGCUUCUCAGCAAAUCAGUCUUAGUAGGAUUUUAACUGAAGUGAUUCAAGUGUGAUUUGUAGGAUUUUAAUGUUUUAAUUAGUUUGCUGAUGUUAUAAUGUUGUUAGUGAAACUUUCUGCAUGCUGCCUCCAUUUGUUGAAGUUUCGUUUAUUAGUUGAGGAUUUCGUGUGGCUUGUGUA